GGGGGCGUACUGGCUUCGACGCGUUGUGCCUGUUGCAGAGAGCAUGUCGAGCUUUGGUUUUGUGCUCGUUAAACAAAAUACCAAAACAAUAAGUGCAGCGACUAAUAUCCCUGCCGGUAGCUUAUUUGCCUUGCUUCUUUCGGGCUUAAUUGCACUCUUUGGUGCAGUUGCUCCUAGGAAACAAGAAGCUUUUGCUUAAAGCGUAAGCUACUACCUCUUUUUCGUGGCGUGUCCAUCAGCUGCGUUUAAAGAGUAUUACCAAGAUGGAACUGACACAUAAGAUUUUUUCGUUGUGGUAAUGUGUCUGAUCACUAUAACGGGCUAUCGCAUUUUUCUCGUGUCUCUACGGGAAUGCAGAUAGUAUAAUUAGAGAAUAAGCAUGUAGCGCUGGGCAAUUGACAGGGCGUGGACAUGGGUUCGACUCCCAUCGCCUCCACCA
rnacentral:tmRNA from 2 species